GGAUGAACGCUAGCGGCAGGCUUAAUACAUGCAAGUCGAGGGGCAGCACGAAUAGCAAUAUUUGGUGGCGACCGGCGCACGGGUGCGUAACACGUAUACAACCUACCUAUAACAGGGGGAUAGCCUUUCGAAAGAGAGAUUAAUACCCCGUAAUAAAUUGAGUGGCAUCACUUGAUUUUGAAAGCUCCGGCGGUUAUAGAUGGGUAUGCGUCUGAUUAGCUAGUUGGUGAGGUAAUGGCUCACCAAGGCGACGAUCAGUAGGGGAUCUGAGAGGACUAACCCCCACACUGGUACUGAGACACGGACCAGACUCCUACGGGAGGCAGCAGUAAGGAAUAUUGGUCAAUGGAGGCAACUCUGAACCAGCCAUGCCGCGUGCAGGAUGACGGCCCUAUGGGUUGUAAACUGCUUUUGUACCAGAGAAAACCCCAGUACGUGUACUGGGUUGAUAGUAUGGUAAGAAUAAGCAUCGGCUAACUUCGUG
rnacentral:rRNA from 1 species